AAAGAUUAAGCCAUGCAUGUCUAAGUAUAAACAAUUUUGUACUGUGAAACUGCGAAUGGCUCAUUAUAUCAGUUAUAGUCUACUCGAUAGUACCUUACUACUUGGAUAACCGUAGUAAUUCUAGAGCUAAUACAUGCACAAAUACCCAACUGCUUGUCGGACGGGUAGCAUUUAUUAGAUUGAAACCAAUGCAGUCUUCGGGCUGGUAUUGUGUUGAGUCAUAAUAACUGUGCGGAUCGCACUCUGUGCGAUAAAUCGAUUGAGUUUCUGCCCUAUCAGCUUUGGAUGGUAGGAUAUGGGCCUACCAUGGCAU
rnacentral:rRNA from 1 species